GACGAACGCUGGCGGCGUGCUUAACACAUGCAAGUCGAACGGAAAGGCCCUGCUUUUGUGGGGUGCUCGAGUGGCGAACGGGUGAGUAACACGUGAGUAACCUGCCCUUGACUUUGGGAUAACUUCAGGAAACUGGGGCUAAUACCGGCUAGGAGCUCCUGCUGCAUGGUGGGGGUUGGAAAGUUUCGGCGGUUGGGGAUGGACUCGCGGCUUAUCGGCUUGUUGGUGGGGUAGUGGCUUACCAAGGCUUUGACGGGUAGCCGGCCUGGGAGGGUGACCGGCGACAUUGGGACUGAGGUACGGACCAGACUGCAAUGGGAGGCAGCGGUGGGAAAUAUUGCACAAUGGGCGGAAGCCUGAUGCAGAGACGCCGCGUGCGGGAUGACGGCCUUCGGGUUGUAAACCGCUUUCGCCUGUGACGAAGCGUGAGUGACGGUAAUGGGUAAAGAAGCACCGGCUAACUACGUG
rnacentral:rRNA from 1 species